rnacentral:rRNA from 1 species
GUAAUAAUCCUGUAGUCGAAAAUGUUGUCUCUCUUGAGUGGAUCCUGAGUACGACGGAGCACGUGAAAUUCCGUCGGAAUCUGGGAGGACCAUCUCCUAAGGCUAAAUACUCUCUAGUGACCGAUAGUGAACCAGUACCGUGAGGGAAAGGUGAAAAGCACCCCGGAAGGGGAGUGAAAUAGAACCUGAAACCGUGUGCUUACAAGUAGUCAGAGCCCGUUAAUGGGUGAUGGCGUGCCUUUUGUAGAAUGAACCGGCGAGUUACGAUUUGAUGCAAGGUUAAGCAGUAAAUGUGGAGCCGUAGCGAAAGCGAGUCUGAAUAGGGCGUUUAGUAUUUGGUCGUAGACCCGAAACCAGGUGAUCUACCCUUGGUCAGGUUGAAGUUCAGGUAACACUGAAUGGAGGACCGAACCGACUUACGUUGAAAAGUGAGCGGAUGAACUGAGGGUAGCGGAGAAAUUCCAAUCGAACCUGGAGAUAGCUGGUUCUCUCCGAAAUAGCUUUAGGGCUAGCCUCAAGUGAUGAUUAUUGGAGGUAGAGCACUGUUUGGACGAGGGGCCCCUCUCGGGUUACCGAAUUCAGACAAACUCCGAAUGCCAAUUAAUUUAACUUGGGAGUCAGAACAUGGGUGAUAAGGUCCGUGUUCGAAAGGGAAACAGCCCAGACCACCAGCUAAGGUCCCAAAAUAUAUGUUAAGUGGAAAAGGAUGUGGCGUUGCCCAGACAACUAGGAUGUUGGCUUAGAAGCAGCCAUCAUUUAAAGAGUGCGUAAUAGCUCACUAGUCGAGUGACACUGCGCCGAAAAUGUACCGGGGCUAAACAUAUUACCGAAGCUGUGGAUUGUCCUUUGGACAAUGGUAGGAGAGCGUUCUAAGGGCGUUGAAGCAUGAUCGUAAGGACAUGUGGAGCGCUUAGAAGUGAGAAUGCCGGUGUGAGUAGCGAAAGACGGGUGAGAAUCCCGUCCACCGAUUGACUAAGGUUUCCAGAGGAAGGCUCGUCCGCUCUGGGUUAGUCGGGUCCUAAGCUGAGGCCGACAGGCGUAGGCGAUGGAUAACAGGUUGAUAUUCCUGUACCACCUAUAAUCGUUUUAAUCGAUGGGGGGACGCAGUAGGAUAGGCGAAGCGUGCGAUUGGA